AAGAAUCAUUGUCAAAACCUGCCGAACAGAGAGACCCGCGAACAACUGAAAACAUGCACGUGCGUUUCGAGGAGGGGCGCACCCCCGAUCGUCCAUCCAUCAGACCACGAUCCCCCGCCGCGGCCGCAACGAAAAGGUGACCGCAGGGCGGGCCGGUGUGUCCGAACUAAACCAAAAACCGGUGCUACAGGCGCCAAGGAAAUCUUAGGGAAAAUAGGGGUCCCGCCGUUCGCGGUCGCGGCCUUCGGGAUCUGAUACUCGAACGACUCUCGAAAACGGAUAUCUCGGCUCUUACAUCGAUGAUGAAUGUAACAAAAUAAGAUACUUGGUGUGAAUUGCAGAAUCUCAUGAACCAUUGAGUCUUUGAAUGUAAGUUUCGUGCGAGGCACCUAGGUCGAGGGCACGUCUGCCUGGGCAUCACACACAGCGUCGCUCCCCAUCAACCACGUUGUUGGGGAGCGGAAAUUGCCCCCCGAACACUUUAAGGCACGGUCGGCACAAAUUUUGGUCCUCGACGGUGAGCGUCGCGGUCAAUGGUGGUUGUACUACUCAUCCUUGGAGACAUCAAGACGCGCCUCCGUUGCACGACGUUAUAAAUGACCCCACGGAACCGCCUCACGCGGCAUCCACCCUGCGACCCCAGGUCAAGGGGGAUUACCCGCUGAGUUUAA
rnacentral:rRNA from 1 species